GACGAACGCUGGCGGCGUGCUUAACACAUGCAAGUCGAACGGAAAGGCCCCUUUGGGGGUACUCGAGUGGCGAACGGGUGAGUAACACGUGAGUAACCUGCCCUUGACUUCGGGAUAACUUCAGGAAACUGGGGCUAAUACCGGAUAGGAAUCCUUGCUGCAUGGUGGGGGUUGGAAAGCUUCGGCGGUUUUGGAUGGACUCGCGGCUUAUCAGCUUGUUGGUGGGGUAGUGGCUUAUCAAGGCUUUGACGGGUAGCCGGCCUGAGAGGGCGACCGGCCACAUUGGGACUGAAAGACGGCCCAGACUCCUACGGGAGGCAGAAGUGGGGAAUAUUGCACAAUGGGCGGAAGCCUGAUGCAGCAACGCCGCGUGCGGGAUGACGGCCUUCGGGUUGUAAACCGCUUUCAGCAGGGGCGAAGCUUGUGGUGACGGUACCUGCAGAAGAGGCACCGGCUAACUACGUG
rnacentral:rRNA from 1 species